rnacentral:rRNA from 1 species
ACUCAAAUGAAUUGACGGGGACCCGCACAAGCGGUGGAGCAUGUGGUUUAAUUCGACGAUAAGCGAGGAACCUCACCAAGGUUUGACAUGUAGCUGCAAGGUCUGGAAACAGAUCCGCCUUCGAGGGUGCUACACAGAUGCUGCAUGGUUGUCGUCAGCUCGUGUCGUGAGAUGUACCGUUAAGUCGGGAAACGAGCGCAACCCUUUUCUUAUGUUUUAUAUGUCAUAAGAUACUGCCCGUUUUAAAUGGGAGGAAGGUGGGAUGACGUCAAAUCAGCAUGGUUCUUACACCUUGGGCAACACACGUGCUACAAUGGAAAGUACAAAGGGACGCCAAAUCGCGAGAUGGAGCAAAUCCCUAAAAACUUUUCUCAGUUCGGAUUGGAGUCUGCAACUCGACUCCAUGAAGCUGGAAUCGCUAGUAAUCGUGGAUCAGCUAUGCCACGGUGAAUACGUUCUCGGGUCUUGUACACACCGCCCGU